CAGCUUGCUGGGUGGAUUAGUGGCGAACGGGUGAGUAACACGUGAGUAACCUGCCCCCGACUCUGGGAUAAGCCCGGGAAACUGGGUCUAAUACCGGAUAUUACCUUUGACCGCAUGGUUGUUGGUGGAAAGAUUUAUCGGUGGGGGAUGGACUCGCGGCCUAUCAGCUUGUUGGUGAGGUAAUGGCUCACCAAGGCGACGACGGGUAGCCGGCCUGAGAGGGUGACCGGCCACACUGGGACUGAGACACGGCCCAGACUCCUACGGGAGGCAGCAGUGGGGAAUAUUGCACAAUGGGCGAAAGCCUGAUGCAGCGACGCCGCGUGAGGGAUGACGGCCUUCGGGUUGUAAACCUCUUUCAGUAGGGAAGAAGCGAAAGUGACGGUACCUGCAGAAGAAGCGCCGGCUAACUACGUGCCAGCAGCCGCGGUAAUACGUAGGGCGCAAGCGUUAUCCGGAUUUAUUGGGCGUAAAGAGCUCGUAGGCGGUUUGUCGCGUCUGCCGUGAAAGUCCGAGGCUCAACCUCGGAUCUGCGGUGGGUACGGGCAGACUAGAGUGAUGUAGGGGAGACUGGAAUUCCUGGUGUAGCGGUGAAAUGCGCAGAUAUCAGGAGGAACACCGAUGGCGAAGGCAGGUCUCUGGGCAUUUACUGACGCUGAGGAGCGAAAGCAUGGGGAGCGAACAGGAUUAGAUACCCUGGUAGUCCAUGCCGUAAACGUUGGGCACUAGGUGUGGGGGACAUUCCACGUUUUCCGCGCCGUAGCUAACGCAUUAAGUGCCCCGCCUGGGGAGUACGGCCGCAAGGCUAAAACUCAAAGGAAUUGACGGGGGCCCGCACAAGCGGCGGAGCAUGCGGAUUAAUUCGAUGCAACGCGAAGAACCUUACCAAGGCUUGACAUGUGCCAGACCGCCUCAGAGAUGGGGUUUCCCUUCGGGGCUGGUUCACAGGUGGUGCAUGGUUGUCGUCAGCUCGUGUCGUGAGAUGUUGGGUUAAGUCCCGCAACGAGCGCAACCCUCGUUCCAUGUUGCCAGCACGUAAAGGUGGGGACUCAUGGGAGACUGCCGGGGUCAACUCGGAGGAAGGUGGGGAUGACGUCAAAUCAUCAUGCCCCUUAUGUCUUGGGCUUCACGCAUGCUACAAUGGCCGGUACAAUGGGUUGCGAUACUGUGAGGUGGAGCUAAUCCCUAAAAGCCGGUCUCAGUUCGGAUUGGGGUCUGCAACUCGACCCCAUGAAGUCGGAGUCGCUAGUAAUCGCAGAUCAGCAACGCUGCGGUGAAUACGUUCCCGGGCCUUGUACACACCGCCCGUCAAGUCACGAAAGUUGGUAACACCCGAAGCCGAUGGCCUAACC
rnacentral:rRNA from 1 species